rnacentral:rRNA from 1 species
CAUUUAAAGAAAGCGUAAUAGCUCACUGAUCGAGUCGUCCUGCGCGGAAGAUGUAACGGGGCUAAGCCAUGCACCGAAGCUUAGGCUGCACUCUCUGAGUGCGGGGUAGGGGAGCGUUCUGUAAGCCUGUGAAGGUGUCUCGUAAGGGAUGCUGGAGGUAUCAGAAGUGCGAAUGCUGACAUGAGUAGCGUUAAAGCGGGUGAAAAGCCCGCUCGCCGUAAGCGCAAGGUUUCCUACGCAACGUUCAUCGGCGUAGGGUGAGUCGGCCCCUAAGGUGAGGGCGAAAGCCAUAGCUGAUGGGAAGCUGGUUAAUAUUCCAGCACCGAUUUCUAGUGCGAUGGGGGGACGGAUCGUGGAAGGUUGUCCGGGUGUUGGAAGUCCCGGUUCCUGACCUGUAGGUGUCUGGUAGGUAAAUCCGCCAGGCGUAUGCCGAGGGGUUGGGACGAGCGAGCUUGCUCGCGAAGCAACUGGAAGUGGUUCCAAGAAAAGCCUCUAAGCUUCAGCUAGAAACGACCGUACCGCAAACCAACACUGGUGCGCGAGAUGAGUAUUCUCAGGCGCUUGAGAGAACUCGGGAGAAGGAACUCGGCAAAUUGACACCGUAACUUCGGAAGAAGGUGUGCCUUGGUAGCUUGAGUGUGAACAACACAAGGGCAAAGAGGUUGCAAAGAAUAGGUGGCUGCGACUGUUUAUUAAAAACACAGCACUCUGCAAACACGAAAGUGGACGUAUAGGGUGUGACGCCUGCCCGGUGCCGGAAGGUUAAGUGAUGGGGUGCAAGCUCUUGAUCGAAGCCCCGGUAAACGGCGGCCGUAACUAUAACGGUCCUAAGGUAGCGAAAUUCCUUGUCGGGUAAGUUCCGACCUGCACGAAUGGCGUAACGAUGGCCACACUGUCUCCUCCCGAGACUCAGCGAAGUUGAAAUGUUUGUGAUGAUGCAAUCUCCCCGCAGCUAGACGGAAAGACCCCAUGAACCUUUACUGUAGCUUUGCAUUGGAUUGCGAACCGACUUGUGUAGGAUAGGUGGGAGGCUUUGAAGUCAGGACGCCAGUCUUGAUGGAGCCAUCCUUGAAAUACCACCCUGGUUUGUUCGCGGUUCUAACCUAGGCCCGUCAUCCGGGCCGGAGACAGUGCAUGGUGGGCAGUUUGACUGGGGCGGUCUCCUCCUAAAGAGUAACGGAGGAGUUCGAAGGUACGCUUGGUACGGUCGGACAUCGUGCCUAAAGUGCAAUGGCAAAAGCGUGCUUAACUGCGAGACUGACAAGUCGAGCAGGUGCGAAAGCAGGACAUAGUGAUCCGGUGGUUCUGUAUGGA